rnacentral:rRNA from 2 species
ACGGGUGAGUAACGCGUGGGAAUCUACCCAGAUCUACGGAACAACAGUUGGAAACGACUGCUAAUACCGUAUACGCCCUACGGGGGAAAGAUUUAUCGGAUUUGGAUGAGCCCGCGUAAGAUUAGCUAGUUGGUGAGGUAAUGGCUCACCAAGGCGACGAUCUUUAGCUGGUCUGAGAGGAUGAUCAGCCACACUGGGACUGAGACACGGCCCAGACUCCUACGGGAGGCAGCAGUGGGGAAUAUUGGACAAUGGGCGCAAGCCUGAUCCAGCCAUGCCGCGUGAGUGAUGAAGGCCUUAGGGUUGUAAAGCUCUUUCAGUAGGGAAGAUAAUGACGGUACCUACAGAAGAAGCCCCGGCUAACUUCGUGCCAGCAGCCGCGGUAAUACGAAGGGGGCUAGCGUUGUUCGGAUUUACUGGGCGUAAAGCGCACGUAGGCGGUUUGUUAAGUGAGAGGUGAAAUCCCAGAGCUCAACUCUGGAACUGCCUUUCAUACUGGCAAGCUAGAGUCCGGAAGAGGUAAGUGGAACUCCUAGUGUAGAGGUGGAAUUCGUAGA